rnacentral:rRNA from 1 species
GAGUUUGAUCGUGGCUCAGGACGAACGCUGGCGGCGUGCCUAAUACAUGCAAGUCGAGCGGAUCUUCAUUAGCUUGCUUUUGAAGAUCAGCGGCGGACGGGUGAGUAACACGUGGGCAACCUGCCUGUAAGACUGGGAUAACUUCGGGAAACCGGAGCUAAUACCGGAUAAUCCUUUUCCUCUCAUGAGGAAAAGCUGAAAGACGGUUUCGGCUGUCACUUACAGAUGGGCCCGCGGCGCAUUAGCUAGUUGGUGAGGUAACGGCUCACCAAGGCGACGAUGCGUAGCCGACCUGAGAGGGUGAUCGGCCACACUGGGACUGAGACACGGCCCAGACUCCUACGGGAGGCAGCAGUAGGGAAUCUUCCGCAAUGGACGAAAGUCUGACGGAGCAACGCCGCGUGAGCGAUGAAGGCCUGGUCGUAAG